rnacentral:rRNA from 1 species
UAGGGAAUCUUCGGCAAUGGACGAAAGUCUGACCGAGCAACGCCGCGUGAGUGAAGAAGGUUUUCGGAUCGUAAAACUCUGUUGUUAGAGAAGAACAAGGACGUUAGUAACUGAACGUCCCCUGACGGUAUCUAACCAGAAAGCCACGGCUAACUACGUGCCAGCAGCCGCGGUAAUACGUAGGUGGCAAGCGUUGUCCGGAUUUAUUGGGCGUAAAGCGAGCGCAGGCGGUUUCUUAAGUCUGAUGUGAAAGCCCCCGGCUCAACCGGGGAGGGUCAUUGGAAACUGGGAGACUUGAGUGCAGAAGAGGAGAGUGGAAUUCGAUGUGUAGCGGUGAAAUGCGUAGAUAUAUGGAGGAACACCAGUGGCGAAGGCGGCUCUCUGGUCUGUAACUGACGUUGAGGCUCGAAAGCGUGGGGAGCAAACAGG